GGAACGUGGGAGUCCCUGGCGUUCCUCUUGGCGUCGGUGGCGGAGAAGACGGUGUAGACGAGGACGAAGGUGCCGAUGAUCUCGGCGCCGAGCCCGGAGCCCUUGGUGUAGCCGGACGCCACCACGUUGGCGCCGCCGCCGUUGCCCAUGUACAGGCCCUGCUGGAACCCCUUGACCACGCCGGCGCCGCAGAUGGCGCCCAGGCACUGCAUGAUGAUGUAGAACACCGCCCUCGUCAGCGACAGCUUCCUCGCCAGGAACAGCCCGAAGGUCACCGCCGGGUUGAUGUGCCCGCCUGCAUCCCAAUCCCAUCCAUCCAUCCAUCCGUUAGCAGUCAGCAAAAACGGAAGAAGAAAAACACAGGAAAAGGCUACAGGAAUCAAGAAAAAACAGUACCAGAGAUGCCGGCGGUGCAGUAGACGAGGGCGAAGAUCAUGCCGCCGAAGGACCAGGCGAUGCCCUGGAUGCCGACGGUGGCGCACUUGGAGGCGGCGCCGCUGUAGCCCAUGACGGUGAGGAUGGUGACGUAGAGGAAGAGGAAGGUGGCCAUGAACUCGGCGAUGCCGGCGCGGUAGAAGGACCACGACUUGAGCUCGCCGGGCUCGAACAGCGGCGCCGGCGGGGGCUCCUUGUAGUCCUUGUCCUCGGACCCCUGCGCCGCCGUGCCGAUGGGCUGCCGCUCCGAGUACUUGUUCGCCCCGAGGCGCACGUCCUCCUCCUUGCCCUCCAUCGCUGCUGCCCUCGCCGGAGGCCGGUGGUCGCUGUCUCGCCUGAGCUGGAACGGAACGAGAUGGGCGGCUUUGGUGUGAGCGUGUGGUGAGGGUAGCACUGGGAGUGAAGAGUCUUAUAGGGGCAAGCGGCGGUUCUGGAAGGAAGGGGUGGAGGACGGCGGGUGACGAGGACGGCGGGUGGUGGCCCGGCGUGACAGCGGGGAGGAGCGGGCUGGCUUGCUGUUUAGCCUGUUUGUUUGUUGCCUAGCUUGCCGCUGCUGCAGCGCCCUUGUUUGCUUGCUUAUCCGCUUGUGUUUAACGUUUGAACAAAUAAAUAUUCCUUUUAAAGCUAAAAACACGAAUGAUUAUUUUUCCAAGCUCGGAGAAUCGGUGCAACUGCUGCGUGAUCAAUCAGUGCCCUGCAAAUUGUAAUUGCUAUUUUGUCAACUAUCUGAGAACAUCAAUUCGGCAUCAGGUAGCCAAAUGCUUCUCAUGUCCACCAUUUUGCAAGACCUUAGAGCACCUCCAACAAGACGACACGCACUAAAAUAACAUUUACAAUGUUGAAAUAACAAUUUUUUUAGGCACAGCAGAACACUGGUUCCAACGGUCACUCCAAAAUAUUACGGGGUUGUUUGGUUCCCAGCCUAAGGUUGUCAUGCCUAACCUUAAUCAUGUCAUAAUACUUUAGGCAUGUGUUUGGUUCAUUACCACACUUAUGGCUUGCCACAUUUUUAUAGAUAUAUGGUCCAUAUGUCAUAGACUCAUUUUUUACCAAAUCUUGCCACACUUGUGGUGUCCAUUUUGUUAGCCACACUUUUUGUGGCAGCCACACUUUGCCUAAGGUUAGUUGUGGUAAAGUUAGUCAUGAACCAAACAGGCCCUACACGCGUGAGCCGUUACUGCAUAGUCGAGUACAAACAACAUUUGACACUCAAACAACAUCAAAAAGAUCAAACACAUAAAAAAUAAAUCAGCAAUAAAUAAUUCAAUUUUAUUUAUAACUCAAACAAAUAGUUUAUUUUCCAAUACAACAAAUAGUUCAACAAUACAACAUUAAACAUACAAAUCACUAGUUUUGUCGGCCAUCCAUGCCCACCACUCCUUCUUUAGAUCUUUCUCAAAAUUAUGAUGCGUUUCGACGCGUCAAAUGAUAUGAUAGGAGGCAACAAAUCAGGCCAUCCUUUCAGCCCUCCGUCGUACUCGCACUAGACGUCCCAAGAGGUCACAUUUGGAGUUGUCUAAAUCUUGCCGACGUUCAUUCUCGAUGAUCAUGUUAUGCAUGAUCACACAAGCGUUCAUGAUGUACCAAAGGAUCUUUUGAUCCCAAAAUCUAGCCGGUCCACUCACGAUAGCAAAUUCGGCUUGCAAAAUCCCAAAAGCUCUCUCCACAUCUUUCCUAAAUGCCGCUUGAGCAUCGUGGAAAUGAAGAUUUUACUUACCUUUCGAUUUUUUCAACGGCGUAACAAAUGUUUGCCACUUUGGAUAGAUGUCAUCCGCAAGAUAGUAGCCAUAGUUGCAUGUAUGGCAAUUUGCUACAAACUGCACACGUGGUUGUUCAUCAUUUGCAAUCCUAUUCAUGAGUGGUGACCGAUUAAGAACGUGAUGUCAUUCAAAGAUCCAUGCAUUUCAAAAAAAGCAUGUCAAAUCCAAGUCUCUUGAUCGGCCACUCCUUCAAGGAUUAUAGUGGAACCCUUUUUUUGGUCGUGAAAUUGUCCGUACCAUGCCUUAUGACAAUUCUUCCAACUCCAAUGCAUGCAAUCUAUUGAGCCAAGCAUACCUGGAAACCCGCGAGCUUUGUUCAUAUCCAAAAGCCUUGCGGCGUCUUCAACAUUGGGAGCUCUGAAAUACUCCAGACCAAACACUUGCACAAUUCCAACUGCAAAGCGCUUGACACAUAUGAUGGCUUGAUUCUCACCCAUGGCCAAACGGUCAUCAACUAGAUUAGCAGGAAUAACAUAUGCCAACAUACGCAAAGCGGUUGUCACCUUUUGAAAGGUGCUAUGCCCGAGUUCUCCAGGGGCAUUCCUCCUUCGUUGAAAAAACAGAUCAUGGCUUGCUAGUUUAUCUGCGAUGCGUUUGAACAACUCGGUGCACAUCCUAAAACGACACCGAAAGUAGGAGUCAGGGUAUACAGGAUUAUCCACAAAAUAGUGCCUCAUCAAUCUGUUGUUGGCAUUGAUCUUAUCCCUCCAAAUUUUCUGACGACCCAUAACCGAACCAACGUGCUUCGACUUUCUAUUGACGUGCAUAGCUAUGAUCAUUGCAAGGUCCUCCUCCACCUGAUAAUCAAAUUAUUCGCCGAAAGAAUCAUAUGAAGAACCCAUCUACAAUAUUGAUUUUAAACUAGUCUAUAAAACUACAAACAACAUGCACCAAAUUCUUCUACAAAAUAUGAAGUUGAAGCAAUACAUACCUUGCAAGCGUUUUGUCAAACACCUUGUGGAGCGACAGUGGGCGACCGAGUGCUGUUCGUCGAAGGAAUGGCGCGCUUGAGGGGCGGCGACGAUGAGAGGAGGUGGAGGAAGGAGCGGCGGCGCGCGGUGAUAGGUCAGGGAAGCUGUUGGAAAUAUGCCCUAGAGGCAAUGAUAAAUAGUUAUAUUAUAUUUCUUGUUUAAAGAUAAUUGUUUAUUAUCCAUGCUAUAAUUGUAUUGAGUGAAAACAUAGAUACAUGUGUGGAUAUAUAGACAAAACAAUGUCCCUAGCAAGCCUCUAGUUGCCUGGCUAGUUAAUCAAAGAUAGUCAAGGUUUUCUGACUAUGAGCAAAGUGUUGUUGCUUGAUAACUGCAUCACAUCAUUAGGAGAAUCAUGUGAUGGACUAGACCCAAACUAUGAACGUAGCAUAUUGAUCGUGUCAUUUUAUUGCUAUUGUUUUUUGCGUGUCAAGUAUUUGUUCCUAUGAGAAUGAGAUCAUAUAACUCACUGGCACCGGAGGAAUACCUUGCGUGCAUCAAACGUCACAACGUAAUUGAGUGACUAUAAAGGUGUUCUACAGGUAUCUCCGAAGGUGUCCUUUGAGUUAGUAUGGAUCAAGACUGGGAUUUGUCACUCCGUGUGACGGAGAGGUAUCUCGGGGCCCACUCGGUAAUACAACAUCACACACAAGCCUUGCAAGCAAUGUGGCUAAGUGUAAGUCACGGGAUCUUGUAUUACGGAACGAGCAAAGAGACUUGCCGGUAACGAGAUUGAAGUAGGUUUGCGGAUACCGACGAUCAAAUCUCGGGCAAGUAACAUACCCAAUGACAAAGGGAAUGACAUACACGAUUAUAUGAAUCAUCCAGGUCCCGCUAUUGGAUAUUGACCGAUGAGUUACUCGGGGCAUGUCUACAUAGUUCUCGAACCCGUAGGGUCUGCACACUUAAGGUUCUAUGAUGUUUUAGUAUAGUUGAGUUAUAUGUGUGGUUACCUAAUGUUGUUCGGAAUCCCGGAUGAGAUCACGGACGUCACGAGGGUUUCCGGAAUGGUCGGGAAACAAAGAUUGAUAUAUAGGAUGACUUCAUUUGGUUACCGGAAGGUUUUCGGGCAUUAUCGGGAUUGUACCGAGAGUGACGAAUGGGUUCCGGAUGUUCACCGGGAGGGGGCAACCCAUCCGGGGAAGCCCAAAGGCCCUAGGGGUGGCGCACCAGCCCUUAGUGGGCUGGUGGGACAACCCAAGAGGGCCUAUGCGCCAAGGAAAGAAAAAAACCAAAAAGAAAAAAAAAGAAAGGUGGGAAGGAAGAGAAGGACUCCACUUUCCAAUCCUAUUUGGACUAGGAUUGGAGUAUGACUCCUCCUCCUCCCUAGCCGGCGCACCCUUGAGGGCUUGGCCCUAAAGGCAAGCCUCCCCCCUCCCUCCUAUAUAUAGUGGUGAUUUAGGGCUGAUUUGAGACAAAUUUUGCCACGUGCAACUUAGAUCUAGACACCAUAGUUUUACCUCUAGAUCGUAUUUCUGCGGAGCUCGGGCGGAGCCCUGCAGGAGUAGAUCCUUCACCACCACCGGAGCGCCGUCACGCUGCCGGAGAACUCGUCUACUUCUCCGUCUUGCUUGCUGGAUCAAUAAGGCCAAGAUCAUCGUCGAGCUGUACGUGUGCUGAACGCGGAGGUGUCGUCCGUUCGGCACUAGAUCGGCACGGAUCGUGGGACGGAUCGCGGGAUGGUCCGUGGGACGGUUCGCGGGGCGGAUCGAGGGACGUGAGGAUGUUCCACUACACCAAUCGCGUUUCUUAACGCUUCCUGCUUUGCGAUCUACAAGGGUACGUAGAUCCAAAUCUCCUCUCGUAGAUGGACAUCACCAUGAUAGGUCUUCGUGUGCGUAGGAAAUUUUUUGUUUCCCAUGCAACGUUCCCCAACAGAAGCGUCGUCGGGGCGCAGGGGUAAAUGGGGAGGUGCGGUCGACGACGCUAGCGGAUGGAUCCGGCGUUUGGUGGAAGUCGCGCGCGAGUCAUCGUUGUCAAGCGUGCGGGGUCGGGCGCACAAAAUAAGCGACGCGCGAUGUCGUUUUGCUCCAUGCGCUGAACCAACUAUAGAUCCAUAGGACAUCAGCAAAAUAAAACAUACAACUCAAACCAAUCAAGAUCAUCAAUCAACCCAAAGGACAAACAAAAUCUACUCAAACGUCAUAGGGUGGCAAAACAUCAUUGGAUAAUAAUAUGUGGCAUAAAGCAACAUGUUGAAGUAUGGGAUUACAACGGUAUGGAGGAGAGUGGACUAUUGGAAAUAGGACCUUGAGGCAAUAAUAAAUUACUUAUUACUAUAUUUCCUUGUUCAUGAUAUUCGUUUUUAUCCAUGCUAGAAUUGUAUUGCUUGGAAACUCAAAUACAUGUGUGGAUACAUGGACAACACACUGUCCCUACUGAGCCUCUAAAGGACUUGCUCGUUCAUCAAAGAUGGUCAAGGUUUCCUGACCAUAGACAUAUGUGCUCAUUUGAUAACGGGAUCACGUCAUUAGGAGAAUGAUGUGAUGGACAAGACCCAAACUAUAAACGUAGCAUAUGAUUGUGUCAGUUUAUUGUUACUGUUUUCUGCAUGUCAAGUAUGUGUUCCUACGACCAUGAUAUCACGCAACUCCCGGACAUCGGAGGAAUGCCUUGUGUGUAUCAAACGUCACAACAUAACUGGGUGACUAUAAAGGUGCUCUAGAGGUAUCUCCAAGGGUGUCCGUUGGGUUGGCAUGAAUCGAGAUUGGGAUUUGUCAUUCCGUAUGACGAAGAGGUAUCUCUAGGGCCCACUCGAUAAUACAACAUCACAAUGAGCUUGCAAGAAAUGUGACUAAGGAGUUAGUCAUGGGAUCUUGUAUUAUGGAACGAGUAAAGCGACUUGUCGGUGAUGAGAUUAAACCACGUAUGGAGAUACCAAUGAUCAAAUCUCGGGCAAGUAACAUACCGAUGGACAAAGGGAACAUUAUACAAGAUUGAUUGAAUCCUUGACAUCGUGGUUCGACUGAUAAAGAUCUUCGUAGAAUAUGUAGGAGCUAAUAUGGGCAUCCAGGUCCCGCUAUUGAUUAUUGACCGGAGAGUGUCUCACGUCAUGUCUGCAUAGUUCUCGAACCCGCACGGUCUGCACACUUAAGGUCAGUGACGAUUUGGUAUUGUUGAGUUAUGAAUGAUGGUGACCGAAGGUUAUUCGGAGUCCUGGAUGAGAUCCCAGACGUCUCGAGGAGCUCCGGAAUGGUCCAGAGGUAGAGAUUUAUAUAUGGGAAGUCAUAUUUUGGUUACCGGAAAAGGUUCGGGUUUUUUCGAUAUUGUACCGGGAAGGUUCUAGAAGGUUCCGGAAACUUAUGGAGGAGUCCAGAAGUCCACCGAGGGUUCUAACACGUCCCAAGGGUUUGCAUGGGCUGAGAGGAGACAUCAUGGCCUUAUUGGGCCAAGCACACAAGUCCCUCAAGGCCCAUGCAGUUGGGAAAGGUGGAAAGUCCAUCUUUACAUGGAAGGGAAGGAGGGGGACUAGGAUUCCACCCUCCUUGGCUACACCUUAGGGCUUGGAGGGGCUGUUCCCCACGCACUCCACCUAUAUAUAGAGGGGAGGGGCACCCCAAAAGUACACAUGAAUCCCUUGGUGCCCCUCUCUCUCCCUAGAUCGUCUUCUCCCCCGUUCGCGGUUUCGAUAACGCUAGGCGUAGCCCUGCGGGGACAGCUACACCACCACCACCGUCACGCCGUUGCGCUGCCAGAGAAAUCAUCUACCUCUUUAUCCUCGCUUGCUGGAACAAGGAGGUGGAGAACGUCAUCGAGUUGUAUGUGUGCUGAACGCGGAGGUGUCGUCCAGCCGACACUAGAUGAUAACGGAUCGUGAUGGGUGAUACGUCUCCGUCGUAUCUACUUUUCCGAACUCUUUUGCCCUUGUUUUGGACUCUAUUUUGCAUGAUUUGAAUGGAACUAACCGGACUGACGCUGUUUUCAGCAGAAUUGCCAUGGUGUUGUUUUUAUGCAGAAAUAAAAGUUCUCGGAAUGUCCUGAAAAUUUACGGAGAUUUUUCUGGAAUAAAAGAAAAAUACCUGCGCAAAGAUCCACCAGAGGGGGCGUGCCAGUGGGCCACAAGCCCACAUGCCGCGGCCACCCCCCUAGGCCGCGCCGUGAGGGCUUGUGGGGCCCACGUGGCACCACCGCCCCCAAACUCAGCUCUAUAUCUUCCAUCUCGCCCGGAAAAAAAUCAGAGAGAUGGUUUCAUCGCGUUUUGCGAUACGGAGGCGCAGCCACAUCCUGUUCUUCAUCUGGAGGGCAGAUCUGGAGUCCGUUUCGGGCUCUAGAGAGGGGAAAUCGUCGCCAUCGUCAUCAUCAACCUUUCUCCAUCGACAAUUCCAUGAUGCUCUUCAUCGUUCGUGAGUAAUCUCAUCGUAGGCUUGCUGGACGGUGAUGAGUUGGAUGAGAUCUAUCAUGUAAUCGAGUUAGUUCUUGACGGGGAUUGAUCCCUAGUAUCCACUAUGUUCUAGAUUNNNNNNNNNNNNNNNNNNNNNNNNNNNNNNNNNNNNNNNNNNNNNNNNNNNNNNNNNNNNNNNNNNNNNNNNNNNNNNNNNNNNNNNNNNNNNNNNNNNNUAAUCUAAGGCAUACGGGCUAUCCGGACACGCACGAAAAUUAAACACGGGCAAUAUACUAUUGGGACAGCAUGUAAAUCUAGGCAUACGACACGUCAAACAACGUCAAAUAAAUAUGCAAGUAGUGAAAUCGUGUUCUACUCAAAAAGUUACACGAGAUACAUAUCUAAAUCUUCGCGAUCCGACUUACGGGUAAAAAGUUACAGGUAUUUUAAAAUCGUCUACAUUCUAGAAUUUAAUAAUUCCGAAAAAAUUCCUAUUAACUAGCGGGCCUAACAGGGCAUGGGCGGACGGUAGUAAAAUGUGCACAAAGCGCUGGGUAGUAUGGGGCGCUCACCUCGGGCCUAACAGGACGGCUGGGGGAAUGCAGAGCUGGGCUUGGGGAGGUGCAGCGCUGGUUGGGCCGGGAGGAGCUGCUGGCCAGCUGGGCCGGCUCGGGGCCCGGGUCGAGGAGGCAGCGCUCCUCCCCGUUGCUCACUCGUUCCCGAGCUCGCCAGGACGGCGGCGCGCAGGCUCACCUGCCAGCAGGAGGAGGGGCAGGGGCGAGGCACCGGCGAGGAAAGGCGCGGAGGGGAACCGGGAGUCGUCGGCGCCGGCGAAAACAAAGCGGGACCAACCGGAUCUACCCGGAUCCGGGCCGGGGCAGCGACGGUAGACGAGGUGACCGGCGGCGAGCUCGGGCCAAGCCCUCUGAGCGGCGACGACCAUGCCAUGGGGCGGGCUGUGCGGAUCGGUGGCCUUCCGACGUGGUGCCGGGCGGCGUUGCCGGCGGCUGCACGGGCUGCAGCCUGGAGGAAGCGGUGCGCCAUGUGUGCGGGUAGCCGGGCUGCUCCUCCUGACCGAGGAGGAGGACGGGACGAGCCGGGANNNNNNNNNNNNNNNNNNNNNNNNNNNNNNNNNNNNNNNNNNNNNNNNNNNNNNNNNNNNNNNNNNNNNNNNNNNNNNNNNNNNNNNNNNNNNNNNNNNNCAGACAAAGAGUAAAUCAGGAUGAUCAACACACAAAGCAUAUAAGAUGUACCGAGAGGGAUCAAGUGAUCCCAUGGUAUGGUAAGAAUUGUCCAUUACGUGUUUGUGUACUAACCCAUGGUCUUUGUGAGAGUCCUAUGUGGGGGUUAAGUGUGCUUCCAUGGGCUUGCGUCAAAAGGAAGAUCUCAUACAACCCACGAAGGAUGACGUCAAGUGGUGAUGGUCAUCAAUAUUGUGGUGUGCAAGUUCAAGUGGAUCAACAUGAAUAUAUCAUUGAAACUGUUGUUAAUGAUCAUGUGUUGAUAAGGACAAGCUCAUGUGCUAACAAGGACAAGAUCGAGAUAAGCAUUCCUGAGCACUACAUGCUUGAUUCUUGUGGAUGUUCACAUGGUGGACAAAUGAAGAUGAAUAUAUAAGCUAGGCUUUCCGUAUUGUGUAUGGGAGAGCUACUUGAAGACUUCAUCAUGUCUUGCUUUCAACAUUGAGCCAAGAAAGAACAAGAACAUCAAGCUCAAGUGAAAGGGCUAGCUCAAAGGUAUCAGUCCCUUUGAUGUUAGUGGUGUGGAGUGAUGAUCAGCGAAUAAAAGUAUACACUCAAGUAUGGAUCAUCGGUACCCUUUUACAAUUCUUGAGUCUUUAGGGAUCCCGCACUAUUAAGAGGGGAUCACAGGUUUUGUGAUGAACUUGCUCAAACUAGAUAUGCACUGUUCUGCUCAUACCACAUCUCCACUGCUCUGCUGUUAUCAGAAAACAGAACCAGUGCCUUGGACAUCCGGCUUCCUCCGGACGUCCGAGGGCCGGACGAACGACUUCUUCGGAAAUCCGGAAUCCUAUACCAGAGAAAUCAGAGCCAUAUAACUNNNNNNNNNNCGUUGGAAAUAUUCCCUAGAGGCAAUAAAAAAACUGUUAUUAUCAUAUUUCCUUGUUCAUGAUAAUCGUCUAUUGUUCAUGCUAUAAUUGUAUUAACAGGAAACAGUAAUACAUGUGUGAAUAAAUAGAUCACAAUGUAUCCCUAGCAAGCCUGUAGUUGGCUAGCUCGUUAGUCAAUAGAUGAUCAUGGUUUCCUGAUCAUGGGCAUUAGAUGUCAUUGAUAACGGGAUCACAUCAUUGGGAGAAUGAUGUGAUGGACAAGACCCAAUCCUAAGCCUAGCACUAGAUCGUAUUGUUCGUAUGCUAAUGCUUUUCUAAUGUCAAGUAUCUUUUCCUUCGACCGUGAGAUUGUGCAACUCCCGGAUACCGUNNNNNNNNNNNNNNNNNNNNNNNNNNNNNNNNNNNNNNNNNNNNNNNNNNNNNNNNNNNNNNNNNNNNNNNNNNNNNNNNNNNNNNNNNNNNNNNNNNNNUAGGGAAAAGAACUUGCAUGACAUCUAUUGUCCAUCCCUCCCGUGGCAGCGGGGUCCUAAUGGAAACUACGGGAUAUUAAGGUUCUCCUUUUAAUAAAGAACCGGACCAACGCAUUAACAUUUGGUGAAUACAUGAACUCCUCAUACUAUGGUCAUCUCCGGGAGUGGUUCCGGCUAUUGUCACUCCGGGGUUGCCGGGUCAUAACACAUAGUAGGUGACUACAACUUGCAAGAUAGGAUCUAAAACACACAUAUAUUGGCGACAACAUAAUAGGUUCAGAUCUCAAAUCAUGGCACUCGGGCCCUCGUGACAAGCAUUAAGCAUGGCAAAGUAGUAGCAACAUCAAUCUAGAACAUAGUGGAUACUAGGGAUCAAUCCCCGUCAAGAACUAAUCCGAUUACAUGAUAGAUCUCAUCCAACUCAUAAGAAGAUAGGCUCAUAAGAAGAUAGCUUCAACGCUCCGGGUCGAAAAGAGAGGAAUAAAUAACAAGAUAGGCUCAUAAGAAUUCCCAACAUAGGAAAGAAUUACAAGGAUGAAUGGACAAGAUGACACGGACAACUAAAUUGAAUUCACCGGUAAGGAUGACAAGAAUGAAUAAAUAUGACACGAAUGUCCUAAGAAUCUUCACAACGAAUCACCGGGUAAGAGAGAAAAGAACAGAGAGCGGAAGCACCAAGAAGAGGAAACUCUUGGAUGAAAAUCCAAUCACUGAAGAAAAGGGUGGGAGGGCGGGUAAAACAAAAGACAACUUGGGCUAGAUGAGAUGAACUCCGGAAUAAAAUGAGAGAAAGAUCUUGCAAAUAUUAGAGAGGAUUGAAUCCACUUGGAGAGAAACACACCGGUCGAAAAAGAACUGACAUGACGACUCCGGUUGACAAGAAUUGACAUGACAAUUGAACGAACAAAAGAAUUUGCAUUCUCACAUAAAAAUAUGAGAACACCACUUAGGAAAGAUCUGAAAUCACCACUUGACAUCGAAGCAACUUGAAUUACCAUAUUAAAACAAAACAAAGGGUGAGGCUUAUGAAACAAGCCAGAACAAACUCAUGAGAGAGAUUUCGUCCGAUAUUUUCAUGGACAGGAUCGCACGGGCUCUAUCCUUACAGUAGCCAUCAAGUGCAAGGCAGUGCACCUGACAUACGAAGCGUCCCCGAGUCGUAGCAAGCUACAAGGACU
rnacentral:lncRNA from 1 species